GUGAAGGUCAUCAUCAGAGGGCUUUCAAAAUGUAUUUUUCAAUAUUAAGGCAAAACGACUCAAAGGAAAUAUAUUAACACUAUCUGAGAUAAGUUAGCAUUUACUUUUUGCCAUUCAAACAAUUUUUUAUAUAUUCUGAGUAUACUAAUUGUUGCCAUAUGGCAACAACAUGCAAUAAUGGAACUGUAGUAUGUUGUAAUUUCAGACAUUUUGCAAUUGCACCUUAUUUUCCACCUGAGGAAGGAUUUUCUGUAUUAUUUUGAAGGGAGGUAAAAAGAGGCUGAUGUGUUGAGAGACAGAAAAAAAGAGUGAGAGAGAGAGGAAAAAAAAAAAACAUCUCAGGAAUCAGAUUUACAACAGCGAGGUGAAGGUCAGAUCCACAUGAGGGGGAAAACAUCUGCAAUCUCCUGUUCAGUGGACUGUGGUGGGUUUAAAAACCUUUAACUCUGAGGUGUCGGUCUCCCAUCCAUUCUCUCACCCCCGUCUCUUCUCUAAUGGCCUCGAGUGUGAGAUGAGCUCGGGGAGUGACAGCAGGACUACAGAGGGUGAAAAAUCAUGGCUGGCAAGAAGCAAGUGGAGCUUUUGUAUAAAUGUAUAAGAUAUAUGUAGACUGAAUUCUGUCCAGUUCUCAAAUCUGAUUGGUCAGAAAGUGUUGAGUAGUUUUCUAUAAAAGCAGCUCAGAUAGUAGUUUUGGCUGUAAUUCAAAUUCAAAUCACAGGUUUAUAUUAAAGCACUCGUUCAAAUAUAGUGUAUAGAAAUUACUUUAGAAUAAUAUAGUAUAAUAUAGCUUACACAGAGACUAAUAAUAAAAAUAAACAUUGAUAAAAACAUUGAUAUGGUGAAGCUUGGUGAUAUUUAUUUAACAUUUAUGGAAGGGGUCUCCAGUGUGAAGACAUUGUAACAGUCGUCAAGACAGGACUGUGUGAUUUCUCUCAAACAAGACAAGCUGUGUUUUUUUGUCCUAUUAACUUCAAGAAGGACAAAAAAAAAGAGGACGUUAAGGGAAUGAGUGUUCAGGAGCUUGUUUUGUGGACGUGCAACAACAUUAAGUGUAACUAUAAAUGGAUAAAAACAGGAUUAUAAUUCAUUAUUAAGUAAAAAAUCCAACUGUUGACAAACUGUUGUGGUAUAUGAGGAAUAAAAGAGGAGUAAAAAAUAACUCCAACGUAUUGGAGUCGCUGAUUAUGUCCUUAUAACUUUAUGGUAAGUUGUAUCUUUGCCAUAAUUAAAAAAAAGUGUAAAUUAAAUGACACCAUACACCCUGUAAAUGAGAUGUUAUAGUAGAAACAUCACAUUAAUAUAAACCUAUGAUAUGCCUUGUAGCUGGAACUACUGUCAAAGUUGCUGCUGUAGAAAAAUAAUCAACACCUUCGGACCAAUCAGAAUCAAGAAUUCAAAUGCAUUGUGGUAUCAAUAAAAUGUAAAAUGAUGAUGA